AGAUGUGAGGGUGUUCUAACUAUGACAUGUAUUGAUCACCAGGGUUGAUUUUUCUGAUCUAACUGGCUAGUCAGGUGCCUCUUUCCUCCCUCACCACUCCAUGUACUUCUUCCUGAAAGCUGCACACUUGGUGGAAGAGGAUGACCAUCCCAUAAAGAAAGAGUGUAUCAAUCUUCAAUCAAGGGUAUAUAAUAGCUGCAUGAGACAGUCGCUAAAUGAGAACUAUCUGUAAUAAAAUAGAUUAAUCUAUUAUUCUUA
rnacentral:snRNA from 1 species